GGAAGAGAUCUGACCCUUUAGAAUGAAUUAUGUUUUAUAUCCAUGACACAUGGUUGCCUUAAAUGGAGAACAGAUGGAUUACAGGCAACAAGAAAACGCCUUUCAUUUCAUUUUUUAAUACUAUUUUUAGUAGUGGAUUAGGCUCCUCAGCCACGGACACGUGUCUUCAUUUUGGCCUACAUCCCACGACACCUGGACCAAAUCAUUACUUAACAUUCACAAGGCCUCGGACGACGUCACUGCUGUGGUUGACCAGGAGACUAUAUGACAGCAAAUCAGAAGAUGGGGGUGACAGCCCUGAAGACAUCGGAGAAGACAGGGCUGAUGCCCACGCAUGUCUAUUUCUAAAAUUAGCACGUGUCCCUCUUUCUGCUAAGGCGAUUCAGGGAGGAGCAGGAAUAGCCAGUGGUGUUCAAACUGUCUCUUCCGGUUGCCAAGCACAGGCCCCCACACGCACUGCACAGUGCCCACGUCACUAAGACCUGACGCCGCCCAGGCAUAGGCCCGGGCUCAAACCCCCGCGCAUUCCCCAUAUGGAAGAGUUUCACACUGGACGGUGUUUAUCUCCAGCCUCCUCCCCAUAGGCCCUUUAACCCACACACAUUUCUCCUUACUUAAAAAAUACCAGGGGAAAACAAAAACAGAUGUGGUGCCCACAAAGGCCGGUGAUAACUCCUCCUGCCCGGGGGGAGCCUGGUCCCUUAUGGAAGGAGGGGGCACAGAACAGCAGCUUGUGAGGUCAGAACUGAUUCCACACCAAGGCCACGUCGAUGUCGGGACAGGAACUGAGAUCUCCAGGCCCAACGGUCCCUGACUCGGGUCUGGUGGGCACCUCGUCGUGUGACCCGCAGAGUCGUUCUGCAGCAUGGCAGAGACUCGGUGACAAACAUUCUUCCGUUUCUCAUUACUGAGCCUCAGCAGGGCUACUUCCUGAGCAGAACACUGGACUGUAUACAGGCAAGAUUAGAACAAAAACUCCAUGAUGAUAACGUGUGUGCUAGUGUCUUCGUC